rnacentral:rRNA from 1 species
UACGUAGGGUGCAAGCGUUAUCCGGAAUUAUUGGGCGUAAAGAGCUCGUAGGCGGUUUGUCGCGUCUGCUGUGAAAACCCGAGGCUCAACCUCGGGCCUGCAGUGGGUACGGGCAGACUAGAGUGCGGUAGGGGAGAUUGGAAUUCCUGGUGUAGCGGUGGAAUGCGCAGAUAUCAGGAGGAACACCGAUGGCGAAGGCAGAUCUCUGGGCCGUAACUGACGCUGAGGAGCGGAAAAGGGGUGGGGAGCAAACAGG